UACGUAGGUGGCAAGCGUUAUCCGGAAUUAUUGGGCGUAAAGCGCGCGUAGGCGGUUUCUUAAGUCUGAUGUGAAAGCCCACGGCUCAACCGUGGAGGGUCAUUGGAAACUGGGAAACUUGAGUGCAGAAGAGGAAAGUGGAAUUCCAUGUGUAGCGGUGAAAUGCGCAGAGAUAUGGAGGAACACCAGUGGCGAAGGCGACUUUCUGGUCUGUAACUGACGCUGAUGUGUGAAAGCGUGGGGAUCAAACAGG
rnacentral:rRNA from 1 species